AGAUUUGGAAGAUGGAUACUCGUAUGUUACAUUCAUAAUGUCACUGUUCAAUGGUUUUCAUCGACGAUGCCGUUAUGGUAACAAAAGUAGACUGGGAACAAUGUACCACUGCAAUGAAAUAUACUAUGACUGUGAAAAAUAGCAACUCGAAGACUCUUCUGUAUGAAAACACAACUUCUUGCUGUGAGGGACGUAUUGAAAUUUUGUACAUUAAAGGGAACGAGACGAUAAGAAAUGACGUUACAACAAAUGUUACUGAAGAAAAGAAUAAUUCGACAAAUCCAACCAACAGUUUUCUGACCCUGUCCGACGCUAUUUUGUCCAGUGAAAAUGAUGGGCAAAAUGAAAAAUCUAGAAGCAGAUCAGAAGGUAAUAUUAGCAUAACAA